rnacentral:rRNA from 1 species
AUUGAACGCUGGCGGCAUGCCUUACACAUGCAAGUCGAACGGUAACAGGCCGCAAGGUGCUGACGAGUGGCGAACGGGUGAGUAAUGCAUCGGAACGUGCCCAGUUGUGGGGGAUAACUGCUCGAAAGAGCAGCUAAUACCGCAUACGACCUGAGGGUGAAAGCGGGGGAUCGCAAGACCUCGCGCAAUUGGAGCGGCCGAUGUCAGAUUAGGUAGUUGGUGGGGUAAAGGCCUACCAAGCCGACGAUCUGUAGUUGGUCUGAGAGGACGACCAGCCACACUGGGACUGAGACACGGCCCAGACUCCUACGGGAGGCAGCAGUGGGGAAGUUUGGACAAUGGGCGCAAGCCUGAUCCAGCAAUGCCGCGUGCAGGAAGAAGGCCUUCGGGUUGUAAACUGCUUUUGUCAGGGAAGAAAUCCUCUGGGUUAAUACCCCGGGGGGAUGACGGUACCUGAAGAAUAAGCACCGGCUAACUACGUGCCAGCCGCCGCGGUAAAAC